UACGGAGGGUGCAAACGUUGUUCGGAAUCACUGGGCGUAAAGGGAGCGUAGGCGGGAGCCUAAGUUGGGUGUUUAAUUCCGGGGCCCAACCCCGGGCGUGCACUCAAAACUGGGUUUCUUGAAUAGGGGAGAGGUCGGUGGAAUUGGAGGUGUAGCGGUGGAAUGCGUAGAGAUCUCCAAGAACACCCGUUGCGAAGGCGGCCGACUGGACCCAUAUUGACGCUGAGGCUCGAAAGCAUGGGGAGCAAACAGG
rnacentral:rRNA from 1 species